UACGAAGGGGGCUAGCGUUGUUCGGAAUUACUGGGCGUAAAGCGUGCGUAGACGGUCAUGUAAGUCGGGUGUGAAAGCCCCGGGCUCAACCUGGGAAUUGCAUUCGAGACUGCAUGGCUAGGAUGCGGAAGAGGGAAGCGGAAUUUCCGGUGUAGCGGUGAAAUGCGUAGAUAUCGGAAGGAACACCAGUGGCGAAAGCGGCUUCCUGGUCCAGCAUCGACGUUCAGGCACGAAAGCGUGGGGAGCAAACAGG
rnacentral:rRNA from 1 species